AGUUUGAUCCUGGCUCGAAUGAACGCUGGCGGCAGGCCUAACACAUGCAAGUCGAACGGAGUUAUAUUGUAGCUUGCUAUGGUAUAACUUAGUGGCAGACGGGUGAGUAAUGUAUAGGAAUCUACCUAGUAGUACGGAAUAAUUGUUGGAAACGGCAACUAAUACCGUAUACGCCCUACGGGGGAAAAAUUUAUUGCUAUUAGAUGAGCCUAUAUUAGAUUAGCUAGUUGGUGGAGUAAUAGCCUACCAAGGCAAUGAUCUAUAGCUGAUCUGAGAGGAUGAUCAGCCACACUGGAACUGAGAUACGGUCCAGACUCCUACGGGAGGCAGCAGUGGGGAAUAUUGGACAAUGGGCGAAAGCCUGAUCCAGCCAUGCCGCAUGAGUGAAGAAGGCCUUUGGGUUGUAAAGCUCUUUUAGUGAGGAAGAUAAUGACGGUACUCACAGAAGAAGUCCUGGCUAACUCCGUGCCAGCAGCCGCGGUAAUACGGAGAGGGCUAGCGUUAUUCGGAAUUAUUGGGCGUAAAGGGCGCGUAGGCGGAUUAGUAAGUUAAAAGUGAAAUCCCAAGGCUCAACCUUGGAAUUGCUUUUAAAACUGCUAAUCUAGAGAUUGAAAGAGGAUAGAGGAAUUCCUAGUGUAGAGGUGAAAUUCGUAAAUAUUAGGAGGAACACCAGUGGCGAAGGCGUCUAUCUGGUUCAAAUCUGACGCUGAGGCGCGAAGGCGUGGGGAGCAAACAGGAUUAGAUACCCUGGUAGUCCACGCUGUAAACGAUGAAUGUUAAAUAUGGGAAGUUUUACUUUCUGUAUUACAGCUAACGCGUUAAACAUUCCGCCUGGGGACUACGGUCGCAAGAUUAAACUCAAAGGAAUUGACGGGGACCCGC
rnacentral:rRNA from 1 species